GCCUAAUACAUGCAAGUCGUAGCGACAGGAAGGCCGUACUGAACCCUUCGGGGGGACGACGGUGGAAUGAGCGGCGGACGGGUGAGUAACACGUAAAGAACCUGCCCAUAGGUCUGGGAUAACCACGAGAAAAUCGGGGCUAAUACCGGAUGUGUCAUCGGACCGCAUGGUCCGCUGAUGAAAGGCGCUCCGGCGUCGCCCAUGGAUGGCUUUGCGGUGCAUUAGCUAGUUGGUGGGGUAACGGCCCACCAAGGCGACGAUGCAUAGCCGACCUGAGAGGGUGAUCGGCCACACUGGGCACUGAGACACGGCCCAGACUCCUACGGGAGGCAGCAGUAGGGAAUCUUCCACAAUGGACGAAAGUCUGAUGGAGCAACGCCGCGUGAACGAUGAAGGCUUUCGGGUCGUAAAGUUCUGUUGUAAGGGAAGAACAAGUGCCGCAGGCAAUGGCGGCACCUUGACGGUACCUUGCGAGAAAGCCACGGCUAACUACG
rnacentral:rRNA from 1 species